UCUUUGGACAUGUGAGUGGUUGCACCAAUCCCGGAGAAGCCCCCGAUGAAAGAACUCUGAAGAGAGCCCCUCACUCAAGUCUCGGGAUAAUAACGGACCCCCAAAAACUCAUGAGAGA
rnacentral:pre_miRNA from 7 species